GGCCCCACCUGUCAGUCUCCGUGUCUCGCUGACUUCCUCUGCAUCUCUCGCGCCGCCUCGCCGGCGAAGGUCGCCUCUCCGGCUCCGCCGCCGCCGUCAUCACGAGGGCUGCCACGGUCACGAGCAGGCGGGCGCCGGCGAGGUGGAGGACGGGAGUAGCGGUUGCGGGGAGAAGAGGAGGCCGGUGAAGGGGAAGAGGAGAGGGUAGGCUUGCCGGCGGCGGCAUCGGGCGACGGCGACGUAUCAGGUGAGAGAAUCUCGGCGAGUUCUCUCGCCAUCCGAUUCUUCGAUUCUCUUCCCUGUCAGUACGCCCCGCAAUUCCACAGUGCUCAAAUUUUACGGUUCAAGACAAAUCAUUAUGCUGAUGCAGAACGCAGCUAGAAUUUUUCAGGUUUGCAGCCGUUUUUUUUUUUUUUUGGAUUUCCGGACCGCUGUGCAAGAUUCUGCAGGCUUGUGAGGAACACAAGAGGAAUGGAUAAUACCCCACGAUUUUCAGGAGGAGGAGAUGAUUGUGAGUUGAUGCAGCAGAAACAAGAAUGGGCCAAAACACAAGACAUGCUAAAGAGCAAGCUCAUUCUUGAGGAUGAUUUUGGGUGGAAUUUACCUUCAAUGGGCUCAAAUUCAGAUCAGAGCAAUGCUAAUAAUAAGGGCAACCUGAAGUAUAUAGGAGGUGUUGACAUUAGCUUCUCGAAAGAAGACCCUUCCACGGCGUGUGCUGCACUGGUAGUUUUAGAUGCUGGUACCUUAGAAGUUGUCCACGAAGAGUUCGAUGUUGUUCGGCUGCAAGUGCCAUAUAUUCCAGGAUUUCUUGCUUUCAGAGAGGCUCCAAUUCUUCUAGGACUCUUGGAAAAAAUGAAGACAAACAACCAGCAUUUCUACCCUCAGGUACUCAUGGUUGAUGGAAAUGGAUUACUUCAUCCACGAGGUUUUGGUUUAGCUUGUCAUCUUGGUGUCCUUGCAGACCUGCCGACCAUUGGAGUUGGAAAAAAUCUGCACCAUGUGGAUGGCCUUAACCAAUCUGAAUUGAGAAGACAAUUAGAAGCAAAAGAAAACUGCAACAAGGAGUUAAUUUUAUUGACUGGACAGUCUGGGACAACAUGGGGAGCUGUAGGAGAUUCUAUAUUGGACCUCUGAAUGCAUCCUUCACUUCAUUUCUGUCAUAUAUUUCCUGAUAAUGAAAAGGUUUCUAUUGUUGGAACUAAACUAUUAACUUAUCCCAGGCAAUGUGCUCCUGCCCUAGUUUGUCGAAGCCGAUCUACAUCUCAGUUGGGCAUCGCAUUUCACUUGACUCAGCCAUUGGGAUAGUGAAGUUCUGUAGUAAUUAUCGCAUUCCCGAGCCCAUUCGCCAGGCUGAUAUAAGAUCAAAGGUGUUCCUUCAAAAGCACCAAAAACUUGAAGAGUAAUAACAAGAUUGAAAUGGGAGUUUUAUCUUCUACCUGAGUCAAAUUUUCCACAGCAUGAAAGAUGACUGCGAUGCAGCAUCACUCAAAGUCUCAAACCAUCUUGCUUCCAACAAAUCCAAUCAGAAGAGCAUUCAGCAGUGGGUUGCAAUUAACAGCGAGAUGGCUGCCACCUUCUCUUCUGUUAUGUGGAAGAUCCUUGUCAUUGCUGUAGCCAUUGCUGCUCUCCUUAUCCCUUCAGGAGAGGGCAAGUUCGUGUGCCGAGGCAAGUGCGAGGAUAUACGUGACUGCGACAACUGGUGCAAGACGGCCGGAGGCUACCCACAGGGAGGGCAGUGUGUGCCGCCCCUCUACCAAUUCUGCUGCUGCAUCGAGUAGCAGUAUGGAUCUCCAUCGUCUUGGCCUACAAUGUUGGCUAAAUUAAGAGCUUGAUUUGACACCAAAAUCUGCAAAAAAUGAAAUGGAAAUUAAGUAAGUAGGCCAUGAUUGAGAUUAAUUACAAAACGGGAAUCAAUUUCAGAGAAUCGCGAGAAUUAUUCAUGUUUUC